CAGCAGCCGCGGGAAUACGAGGGGGGCAAGCGUUGUUCGGAAUUAUUGGGCGUAAAGGGUGCGUAGGCGGUUUCGUAAGUCUGAUGUGAAAUCUAUGGGCUCAACCCAUAGUCUGCAUCGGAAACUGCGAGGCUUGAGAGUGGGAGAGGUGAGUGGAAUUUCCGGUGUAGCGGUGAAAUGCGUAGAUAUCGGAAGGAACACCUGUGGCGAAAGCGGCUCACUGGACCAUUUCUGACGCUGAUGCACGAAAGCUAGGGGAGCAAACAGGAUUAGAUACCCGGGUAGUCCCUGUCUCUUAUAC
rnacentral:rRNA from 1 species